rnacentral:rRNA from 1 species
GACGAACGCUGGCGGCGUGCCUAACGCAUGCAAGUCGCACGGGACCCCUUCGGGAGGUCAGUGGCGAAGGGCUGAGGAACGGGUGGGGACCUAUCCUUAAGCGGGGGACAACACCGCGAAAGCGGUGCGAAUCCCGCAUACGCUCUGCGGAGGAAAGCGUGAGCAAUGGCGCGCGGAAGAUUGGCCCGGCGGCCCAUCAGGUAGUUGGCGGGGUAACGGUCGACGAAGGGCGUGACGGGUCGCUGGUCUGUGAGGACUACCAGCCAGACUGGGACUGAGAGACGGCCCAGACUCGUACGGGAGGCAGCGGCAAGGAAUUUUCGGCAAUGGGCGCAAGCCUGACCGAGCAACGCCGCGUGAGGGAUGACGGCCGUCGGGUUGUAAACCGCUUUUGGGGGGGAAGAAACAGACGGUACCCCGCGAAUCAGCCCCGGCUAACUCUGUG